AUUGGAAGUAAAAGUCGUAACAAGGUUUCCGUAGGUGAACCUGCGGAAGGAUCAUUAGUGAAUUUUAGGGCGUCUACUUGUAGAGCCUGACCCUCCACUUCUAACACUGUGCAUUAUUCGGUCAUUUGGCGACGUACCUUCGGGUGUCGAGCUGUUUGGCUAAUUUUACCAUUAAACAUUAGUACCAGUAUGUAACGAAAUAUCGAAACAAAAAAAAACUUUCAACAACGGAUCUCUUGGCUCUCGCAUCGAUGAAGAACGCAGCGAAAUGUGAUAAGUAAUGUGAAUUGCAGAAUUCAGUGAAUCAUCGAAUCUUUGAACGCACCUUGCGCUCCCUGGUAUUCCGGGGAGCAUGCCUGUUUGAGUGUCAUGAACUCUUCAACCCACCAGUUUCUAGUAGACUGUGUGAUGUUUGGAUCUUGAGCGUUGCUAGUCUGACUAGCUCGUUCGUAAUAUAUUAGCAUCUCUAAUUCGACUUCGGAUUGACUCAGUGUAAUAGGACUAUUCGCUGAGGACACUUUUAUUAGUGGCCGUAUGAGAACCAGUAGAAGCUUCCAACUACUUAGUCAACUUUGAUUUAGACCUCAGAUCAGGCAG
rnacentral:rRNA from 1 species